rnacentral:rRNA from 1 species
UACGUAGGUGGCAAGCGUUGUCCGGAUUUAUUGGGUUUAAAGGGUGCGUAGGCGGCCCUGUAAGUCAGCGGUGAAAUACGGCAGCUCAACUGUCGAGGUGCCGUUGAUACUGCGGGGCUUGAGUGUUGAUGAGGCAGGCGGAAUUGACGGUGUAGCGGUGAAAUGCUUAGAUAUCGUCAAGAACACCGAUAGCGAAGGCAGCCUGCCAAGCAACAACUGACGCUGAGGCACGAAAGUUCGGGGAUCAAACAGG